rnacentral:lncRNA from 1 species
AUGGGCAAUUUCCACAAUGCGGCCAUGUUCAAGCACUCGUAGAAUUGGCCAUUGUUGCAAGUUCCAUCACCAAAGAAGGCUAGAGUGACAUGAUCACAUUCAGCGCCCUUCAAGACCUCCUUUCUGUACUUGCUAGUGAAUGCAGCACCUGUAGCCACCGGGAUUCCCUCACCAAUAAAAGCGAAACCACCAAGAACAUUGUGCUCUUUGGAGAACAUGUGCAUGGAUCCACCCUGGCCUCUACAAUCAGCCUCCUUCAAGACCUCCCUUCUGUACUUGCUAGUGAAUGCAGCACCUGCAGCCACCGGGAUUCCCUCACCGAUAAAAGCGAAACCACCAAGAACAUUGUGCUCUUUGGAGAACAUGUGCAUGGAUCCACCCUGGCCUCUACAACAGCCCGUGGUCUUUCCAAAUAGCUCACUCAUCACUUGACGAGCUGGGACACCUUUACUCAAUGCAUGGACAUGGUCACGGUAAGUGCUAACUACAGAGUCUUCCUUCUUCAAGAGCUUAAUGAAACCAGUCGAGACAGCUUCUUGGCCGUUG